CUCAGUUCUGCCAGAGCUUCAUUUCGUGGUGUCUGGAAACACAUCAAUCCCCCAGCCUUCUGUUCCUCCGUGCCACCUCCCUGAAUGUCAGAGGAUCAGAGGAUUAUCUGUGUUACCCGGCCGUGUGGGUGCCUGAGCACUACAACCUGAGCUCUAAGAGAUCUUGUAUUUGGACAGAAACACGGCUGUAUUAUAUGAAUAACCGGGGCUUCCCCAUAUCCACAAAACCCAUUCUUGCAGCAGACACGAGAACUUAAUCCACUCCUUUUUACUCCCUGAAGAUUCAACCAAAGUUUAUAUAGCGCUGGCUUGGCUGAAUGCAUUCAUAAAUUGCCACAAAACCUCCUUUGAAAUGGCAGCGAAUGCAGUCGGCUGAUUACAAAGGAUGAGCUCAUGCUUUUGCCUGUAACAAACGCCGCAUUGUUAAGGGCUUCGGGGACAGGAGUGGUGAAUGGCAGGAAUACACCGAGCAUCGGGGUCAGGGGAUGCAGGGCGGGAGCUGGGACUGGGAGCACUGGGGCUGGUUUCGGUGGUCAGUUGGUUGAAAUGGUUAAAGAGAGGGUUUACAGACGUGCUGGAGGGAAGGGAAAGUUUUAUGCUAAAACCUUUCAGCUGCCUUCUCUACUGCAGUUGAGUAGAGCUUACCAACGCACUGAAAAGCCUGGUUCCUCUCCCACUGAUGCCAGUAAGGAAGUUCUGGCUGCAGGAAGCAGAACAGCGAUUUUACAGUCUGCAGUGCUGCUCUGCAGUGCUAACCACAAAGCCUUUCGUUUCACCCUUCAAUUACCCUAACUGCAAUUCUUCCUGUAGAAGCAAUAACGUGCAGCCAACGCGCUAAUAAACUGUUGGUUGUUACUGGAGUAAAAGCCAUUAUAAUGCAAAAAAAGAAAAAAAAAUAGUAAUAAUAAUAAAAUAAAUCAAGGGAACUAACAGGAAAGGUUCUUUAAAUAUUGUGUUUUGUCUAGAAGUAUAAUCCUAUAAAAGGGUCUCAAGUGAAAUCCUUCCCAAGUGAAACCUCAUGCGGAACAAUAGAGGAGACUGCAG
ensembl:lncRNA